rnacentral:rRNA from 1 species
CGCGUAGGCGGCUAGGCAAGUCAAAGGUGAAAUCCCUCGGCUCAACCGAGGAACUGCCUCUGAUACUGCCUGGCUUGAGUCCCGGAGAGGGUGGCGGAAUUCCCAGUGUAGCGGUGAAAUGCGUAGAUAUUGGGAGGAACACCUGUGGCGAAGGCGGCCACCUGGACGGGUACUGACGCUGAGGAGCGAAAGCUAGGGGAGCGAACAGGAUUAGAUACCCUGGUAGUCC